rnacentral:rRNA from 1 species
GCAUAACGCGAAGAACCUUACCAGGUCUUGACAUCCCUCUGACCGGUCCUUAACCGGACCUUCCCUUCGGGGCAGAGGAGACAGGUGGUGCAUGGUUGUCGUCAGCUCGUGUCGUGAGAUGUUGGGUUAAGUCCCGCAACGAGCGCAACCCCUAUCCUUAGUAGCCAGCAGUUCGGCUGGGCACUCUAGGGAGACUGCCAGGGAUAACCUGGAGGAAGGCGGGGAUGACGUCAAAUCAUCAUGCCCUUUAUGAUCUGGGCUACACACGUGCUACAAUGGUGACUACAAAGGGAAGCAACCCCGCGAGGGUAAGCAAAUCCCAAAAAGGUCAUCCCAGUUCGGAUUGUAGUCUGCAACUCGACUACAUGAAGCUGGAAUCGCUAGUAAUCGCGAAUCAGAAUGUCGCGGUGAAUACGUUCCCGGGUCUUGUACACACCG